UACAGAGACUGCAAGCGUUAUUCGGAUUCACUGGGCGUAAAGGGUGCGCAGGUGGUCGUGUGUGUCAGAUGUGAAAUCCCGGAGCUUAACUCCGGAACUGCGUCUGAAACUGCACGACUAGAGCAUUGGAGAGGGUAGUGGAAUUCACGGUGUAGCAGUGAAAUGCGUAGAUAUCGUGAGGAACACCAGAGGCGAAGGCGACUACCUGGACAAUUGCUGACACUCAGGCACGAAAGCAUGGGGAGCAAAAGGG
rnacentral:rRNA from 1 species